rnacentral:rRNA from 1 species
UACGUAGGGGGCAAGCGUUGUCCGGAAUUAUUGGGCGUAAAGAGCUCGUAGGCGGUUCGUCGCGUCGGCUGUGAAAACCCGAGGCUCAACCUCGGGCCUGCAGUCGAUACGGGCGGACUGGAGUUCGGCAGGGGAGACUGGAAUUCCUGGUGUAGCGGUGAAAUGCGUAGAUAUCGGAAGGAACACCAGUGGCGAAAGCGGCUUCCUGGUCCAGCACCGACGUUCAGGCACGAAAGCGUGGGGAGCAAACAGG